GAAAUUCGUUUUUUAAAACAUGGAAUUAUCCUUGACAUUACACUUUAAAGAUUAAAUUAAUAAAUAUUCCGCGUGUAUUAUAUUUGCAACAGUCUGCGAAAAGUAUUUUUUUUCUAAAUUGUCAAAGUAAUAUCGAUUAUCCUUAGGACGGCCAGCUUAGCACAAUAGGGAGAGUGCAGAUCUACGGAUCGCGGGGUCGUGAGUUCGAGCCCUGGGCGUAUGUUGUCCGUGGCGAUUUGACAAAAUACAUUGUGUCUGAUACCAUUCGUCCUCCACCUCUGAUUUGUGUUGGGAAUUUGGCAGUUACUUGCGGAGAACAUGGUUUGUAGUGGUAAAGAAUCCAGGAACACUGGUGAGGUUCACUAUCCGCCGUUACAUAACUAAAAUACAAAAAAAAGGACGCCAGGCAUAAUGUUUCACAAUCUCGACAGGCAUGCGUAUGUUUAUGACAACACAGAUAAUCAAAUCUUAAAUUUCCAUGUAAAUAUUAUUAGAUUCGGUUCAGUAAUAAGAAAGUUGAUAUUUUCUAAAUUUUAGUAAUUUAUGUUUUUAUCCCAAGAACCACUAUAACGGGCCUUAAAUUGUCAAAUUCAAAUCCGCGCCAAAGUAGUCGCAUUUCCCGGUUAUAUCGUCAUUCCCGUGGAAAUCGUCAAAUUUCACGGCUAUGUAAUGAGUCCCGUGUAAAUCCAAUAUUUCGCGGGACAUAACCCUACAAAUAGAAUGGACUAGAUAUCUUUAGUACACACCAUCUUCGACUGUUAGACGAAAUUAUGUCACUUUGAUUUCUUGGUUGAAAAUUUUUGCUCGAUCGAGGGGAAGCAUGAAAACUGGUGUAUGGCAAUUCUUUCAGCAAAACACCUAUACCUUUGUGAGCCUGUCAAAAUAUUUUGUUGAUACAAAGAGAUAUAAAUUACUUGCAGAUUUAUUUAUUCGGCUGAAUGGGGACAACAGUAAUCAAAUGUGUACGCCAUUUAUUUAGCAAACAUACUGAACAGAUGUGAAUAUACAUGUCAGUUCGACAGUGAACAGGCGCUGUUGGUAUUUUUCGAUUUAAACGAUGAUAAAUCUUUUAAUAUAUACAGCAUGAGAAUAAGCAGUCUAUCGUGUGGUUAGACAAUACUUGUACAACAGGCGCCAAGAAACUAUUAUUUAUUGUGCUUAUAAGACCUGUCCUCACUGAAAAUACUGUUAAUAACCCAAACAUCAGUACUGAUUUCAUGUCGACAUUGUACAAUGAUCAUCGAACAGAACGCAUUUCCACGGAACACUUGAUUAAGCAAUGGUCCAUGUUGAUGCUAUUUCUUUAAAGGAAAAGUGUCAAUAAUCUGCAACCAAUUUAACUGCUGUGCAACAAACUUGAAGAAAGGCGUAAAGAUGUAGUUUUGUUUUUAUUUUGUAUUUAUUAGGUUUAUAAAGAAGAGCUUUAACGUAUCAGUCAUUUUGCUUGUCAAAGGUUUCGCAUUUCCAGACCACGUGAUCUAAAAGGCGGUGCGAUCGGACGUUUGUUGACUGGUCAAUUUAUGAUGUCAUAUUUAUAAUCUUGACGG